rnacentral:rRNA from 1 species
GACUUCUGGUUUAAUGCACCUGGCCCGCGGCCCACAAGGCCUGUGAGUGCCGGCGCGCGUUUACCAUCCUUCCAGCAACGGCUACCCUUAACUGGGCGGCUGGAACUGGAUCUUUUACUUUGAAAAAAUUAGAGUGUUUAAAGCAGGCGUUUGCUCUGAAUACAUUAGCAUUUCGGUUCUAUUUUGUUGGUUUCUAUAACUGAAGUAAUGAUUGAUAGGGAUAGUUGGGGGUGCUAGUAUUGGCCGGUCAGAGGUGAAAUUCUUGGAUUCGGUCAAGACUAACUUAUGCGAAAGCAUU